UACGGGGGGGGUAAGCGUUGUUCGGAAUUACUGGGCGUAAAGGGCUCGUAGGCGGCCAACUAAGUCAGACGUGAAAUCCCUCAGCUUAACUGGGGAACUGCGUCUGAUACUGGAUGGCUUGGAUUCGGGAGAGGAAUGCGGAAUUCCAGGUGUAGCGGUGAAAUGCGUAGAUAUCGGGAGGAACACCAGUGGCGAAGGCGACUACCUGGCCUGUUCUUGACGCUGAGGCGCGAAAGCUGGGGGAGCAAACGGG
rnacentral:rRNA from 1 species